rnacentral:misc_RNA from 1 species
UACGGAGGAUCCAAGCGUUAUCCGGAUUUAUUGGGUUUAAAGGGUCCGCAGGCGGGGUAUUAAGUCAGUGGUGAAAGCCGGCAGCUUAACUGUCGAACUGCCAUUGAUACUGAUACUCUUGAGUGUAAUUGAAGUGGGCGGAAUAAGUCAUGUAGCGGUGAAAUGCAUAGAUAUGACUUAGAACACCGAUUGCGAAGGCAGCUCACUAAAUUACAACUGACGCUGAGGGACGAAAGCGUAGGUAGCAAACAGG